GACGAACGCUGGCGGCGUGCCUAAUACAUGCAAGUCGAACGAAGCUUUUUUAACUGGUGCUUGCACCGACUUAAACAACUGAGUGGCGAACGGGUGAGUAACACGUGGGUAACCUGCCCCAAAGCGGGGGAUAACAUUUGGAAACAGAUGCUAAUACCGCAUAACCACAGAAACCACAUGGAUUCUGUGUCAAAGAUGGUUUCGGCUAUCACUUUGGGAGGGACCCGCGGCGUAUUAGCUAGUUGGUAAGGUAAUGGCUUACCAAGGCAAUGAUACGUAGCCGAACUGAGAGGUUGAUCGGCCACAUUGGGACUGAGACACGGCCCAAACUCCUACGGGAGGCAGCAGUAGGGAAUCUUCCACAAUGGACGAAAGUCUGAUGGAGCAACGCCGCGUGAGUGAAGAAGGUUUUCGGAUCGUAAAACUCUGUUGUCAGAGAAGAACGUGUGCGAGAGUAACUGUUCGUGCAGUGACGGUAUCUGGCCAGAAAGCCACGGCUAACUACGUGCCAGCCGCCGCGGUAA
rnacentral:rRNA from 1 species